rnacentral:rRNA from 1 species
GAUGAACGCUAGCGGCAGGCCUAACACAUGCAAGUCGAGGGAGAAGCCUUUCGGGGCAGAAACCGGCGCACGGGUGCGUAACGCGUAUGCAACCUACCUUUCACAGGGGGAUAGCCCGAAGAAAUUUGGAUUAAUACCCCAUAAUAUUGUUGGAUGGCAUCAUUUGGCAAUUAAAACUGCGGUGGUGAAAGAUGGGCAUGCGUCCUAUUAGCUAGUUGGAGUGGUAACGGCACCCCAAGGCUACGAUAGGUAGGGGUCCUGAGAGGGAGAUCCCCCACACUGGUACUGAGACAGGGACCAGACUCCUACGGGAGGCAGCAGUGAGGAAUAUUGGUCAAUGGUCGGAAGACUGAACCAGCCAUGCCGCGUGCAGGAAGAAUGCCUUAUGGGUUGUAAACUGCUUUUAUAUGGGAAGAAUAAGGUGUACGUGUACAUUGAUGACGGUACCAUAUGAUAAAGCU